rnacentral:lncRNA from 1 species
UCUUAACAACUCAAAAAACACAUAAACAACACGUAUAGAACUUGGACUUUGUUAACUCAAUAUUUACAUUUGGGGAUCCUUGAUCCAUAAUAAGAGAUUAUAUAUUGCUUUGUGCAAUAUCUCAUGACUACAAUGUUACGGCUCAAAGUACACACAUCUUUACAAAUAUAAAUUAUGCAUAAACAAUUGUCAUAACAUCAAGAGAGUUACUCUCCCUAAAUAUCCCUUGAUAUUCUCAUAACACGGCAACACCCGAACUUGAAGAAAAUACUUGGAAUAGUUAAAGACUACCACACCCGAAGAGCUGAAACAAGAAAGCUUCAUGUUAUCACCUUGAACUCAAGGGUGAGAAUUUUCACUCUCUUGGAUUAUCUUUUUAAUUUUCCCUUAAUUUUUUAUUUUAGAGCUCGAAGACGAGUUUUUUUUAGUGAUGCAGUAGGAUUAGAGUAUUAUGGUUAAAUCAUCAAUUAGAAUUGGUAUUAGUUUCCACUAUUGAAUAGAUUUAGGAUUAGUUUUCUUAGUUUAUUGGGAUUGAGAAUAGUUUUGAUGAUUAAUUAAGAAUAUGAUUAGUUUCCAAUUUUUUAUAAAUAGAAACAUUAUCCUUUUGUUUAAGCAACUUUUUAUUAUUGACAAAAUUGUGUAACUCAAUCUAGUAAAUUUAGAUCCAAAAUUAUUUUAAAUAGCUUAAAUUGUGUAGAGACACAAGAGAAUCUAUGCUCAAGUGAUAAUCUAAAAGGUUUAUACAGUAUACUAAUAGUGUUGGGCACCUUAUCCCGAUAACACUAUGAGUACAAUUCAUUUUGAACUUUUCAGGCUAUUGCUAGAUUUGUUAAUGGUGUGCCAAUUAAAAGGUUAUUUGCAUAAAUGGUUCGAACUACUUGGCGCGUAGACUCUUCCUCCUCCUCCAUGAAUCCCCAUCCCCAUCCCUAUUUGCCUAAGAGUGUAAUAUUUUUGUUGCUCAGACCUCCCAAACCAAGGCCGCCAUUCAGUUGAGAACGAGUGACUUUAUUCCAUUUCACCGAGUGAUUAAUUUUGCUACCCAAGUGACCUUCCCAAAAGAGACUUCUCAGUAAUCUUUCCAAGGAAGAGACCACCUUAACCGGCAUUGCAAAGAGUGACAUGCAGUAAGUUUGGCAAAAUCGAUUUGCAUAUUGUUUGCCUUCCCCUAAGUAUUACAAAGAACAAGAGGAGAGAUGAAUUAGUUUAAAGAAAAAAGAAAAGAGAAGAUGAAAUGGAGGGAGUUAUCUUAGUUAGGUUGAUUUGAAGUUUUGUGCCUUUGAAGUUUUGUGGGGCACAACCACUUUGCUACAACUAUGUUUUCACUUUGCUACAACUAUGUUUUUAUUUAAA